UAGUAGCGGCACCUGUCCUUGGAUGCGCUGGGCUUUGGGACCUUAGGGAACAGGCACAGGCACGAAAGCAGCCACGCUGGCCCUUGUCCUGCGGACAACCAACCUGACGGAUCGGGCCCCGUAGCCAGCAUUUGCUAUAAACGCCUGAAGCUGUAUCCAGCGCUCUCCUCCUGGGGCCUAUAGGUGUUCGGGUCCAGAGCGAGGCCCCGGCGGCACCAACUCUGCAAACCCCCACCCGUUCACCGACAUGGCAGCGGGCGGAGCAGUCACCCUGAAGCCCAAAAACAGGGAAGUGAAGAAUGCUGCCAGCUCCUUGGAACCCUGUAAACUGAAGGGGACUCGGACAUGAGACAGAUGGCUGAGAAAUCCACCAAGAAAGGCGGAGAGCCACAGCAUCCUGGUCUCCCGGUUUUCCACCACUCCAGGUUCUAACGUCCUAAACCCAUGCUUCAUGUGUGUAAUAAAGCACUCGAAAUUCCGUGGAAGGUAAAUCUUUAUUUAAACUAAAUGUUAUUUUAAAGAAUAACAGCUUAGCCAAUACUGAGACAGACACACGGUGAGACUGGUCUUUGUUUCGGAGGGCACGCAAUGUCAAAGACAGAGGACACCACCUAAACCCACUGGUUCCCAAAUGUGACAAGAUUUUGAGUAACUUGAGGUUAAAACAAAACA